GAAUCUAGCCCUUGUUCUCUUUCUUGGUGAACUAUCAGAUUUAGAAGCAGAAUCCUAAAUUCCUCUAAAAAUUUAUCAAACUCCUAUCUCCAGGCCCUUGUCUUCAGCAUUGCCAACUGCUCUGUUGAGCUUCCCACUUCUCCCAAUGAGGAUUUCAACUCCUAGCUCUGCAUCUCCAAGCCUGCUGCCCCAGAUCCUCCCAUGAAAGGAAUACUCCCAUCCAGGGUGGAGCACAUUGUCUUGUGCUGGCUGGUAACACUCCCUGCUGCGUAUCAAAGGCAUCUGUUCCUCUCAGUGUGCUGAAAGAAGCAACAGCUUUUGAAAAGCAGCUCACCAGGGGCAGCUUGCCAGCAGGGAUGCAAGGCAUGGGAGGCGCAGGCUCCCCAGGACUUCAGAAGCACAGAAUCCAAAGCAACCACCUGAAGUUGCCUGUGCCUAGGUAAACAUUGAGACACAAAGAGGCUGGCCCAAGCUGAAAAUGAACCCCAGCUCUUCUGCAAGCCAGGCCACCGAGCAACCUGCCGUCCUUCUCUGCCUCACCUGCCAGAGCGAGGAAGGAUUGCGAAGAUUACAUCAGUUGCCUUCUCCAAAGAUGGCGAAAGCUACAGGAGAGUAGAGCAGAAGUCUCAUCCACAACCAGCAUGCAGAACAAAGCACCAAAAACCUGUAUGGGGUCUUUACAAUGCAAAUACUUGAAAUUAUCCUGCAAAAAUGGUGAAGGAGCUGAUUUCAGAAAGAAGCAGCAACAAUAUUGUGCCCCCACUUCACAUCUGCCCUUUCAUCUCUUGGACAUCCUGAUAAGUCACUCAAAGAAGACAGUGAUGCUGCUGGGUCUGAGGUUGCCGUGCCUGCAAUGCCUCUAUCCAUAAUAACAGCCUCAUAAAGUGCUUUAGGACUUGUGUAGAUGGGCCAAGAGUUGGGUUUGGGAGAUAGAGGACCAGAAGUCGCCCUGUGGUUCAUCGUGGUCUCCUGAAGGAAUAUUGAACCGUCAGGCAUCUCUUGCUCACCCUGGGUUCUUUGCACAGAAGCCCGACUAACAAAAUGAAAAGCGCAGCUUGAAACGAGUCCACUGCACACAGGUUUUCUCCUGGCAUGACAGGCUAUUGCAGCCUUAAUGGCAGGCUGCUAGACUAGAAGCAGUCUUUCAUUGAGUUUGUCUUACUGAGAGGAAAAACUGCUUUGUGUAAUAACUUUAUGGUAAAUGUUGGCAAAAGAUCUGCACUGCAUACUGAAAGAGAGACAUUUCUGACCACAGCUCACGAACCGCAUUUAUUUACUCUGGCAUUUGUCCAUUAUUUGUUCAUAGGCUUUCUGUCUCUGCUAAAUGUGUUCCAAUUUUGGGAGCUAAAUCAUUGCCAGUAGUUUCCAGGACAUUCCGCUAGGCUAAGCAAAAUUGCCCUAAGCAGUUGUCAGAAACCACUGGAGUAGUAUUUUAAAUACAGAGUAUUUGAAGAAAAUAAAAGAUACCAAACA